rnacentral:misc_RNA from 1 species
GAUGAAGAACGCAGCGAACUGCGAUAAGUAAUGUGAAUUGCAGAAUUCAGUGAAUCAUCGAGUCUUUGAACGCACAUUGCGCCCCCUGGCAUUCCGGGGGGCAUGCCUGUCCGAGCGUCAUUGCUGCCCUUCAAGCCCGGCUUGUGUGUUGGGUCGUCGUCCCCCCCGGGGGACGGGCCCGAAAGGCAGCGGCGGCACCGCGUCCGGUCCUCGAGCGUAUGGGGCUUUGUCACCCGCUCGAUUAGGGCCGGCCGGGCGCCAGCCGGCGACCCCCCCUCAAUCUUUCCAGGUUGACCUCGGAUCAGGUAGGGAUACCCGCUGAACUUAAGCAUAUCAAUAAGCGGAGGA